GACGAACGCUGGCGGCGUGCUUAACACAUGCAAGUCGAGCGGUAAGGCCCUUUCGGGGGUACGACGAGCGGCGAACGGGUGAGUAACACGUGGGUGACCUGCCCUCAGCUCUGGGAGUAAGCCUGGGAAACCGGGGUCUAAUACCGGAUAUGACUCCAUGACGCAUGUUGUGGGGUGGAAAGCCUUGUGCGGCUGAGGAUGGGCCCGCGGCCUAUCAGCUUGUUGGUGGGGGUGAUGGCCUACCAAGGCGACGACGGGUAGCCGGCCUGAGAGGGCGACCGGCCACACUGGGACUGAGACACGGCCCAGACUCCUACGGGAGGCAGCAGUGGGGAAUCUUGCGCAAUGGGCGAAAGCCUGACGCAGCGACGCCGCGUGAGGGAUGACGGCCU
rnacentral:rRNA from 1 species